AUUGAACGCUGGCGGCAUGCCUUACACAUGCAAGUCGAACGGCAGCACGGGAGCAAUCCUGGUGGCGAGUGGCGAACGGGUGAGUAAUAUAUCGGAACGUGCCCAGUCGUGGGGGAUAACGUAGAGAAAUUUACGCUAAUACCGCAUACGAUCUAAGGAUGAAAGCGGGGGAUCGCAAGACCUCGCGCGAUUGGAGCGGCUGAUAUCAGAUUAGGUUGUUGGUGAGGUAAAAGCUCACCAAGCCGACGAUCUGUAGCUGGUUUGAGAGAACGACCAGCCACACUGGGACUGAGACACGGCCCAGACUCCUACGGGAGGCAGCAGUGGGGAAUUUUGGACAAUGGGCGAAAGCCUGAUCCAGCAAUGCCGCGUGCAGGAAGAAGGCCUUCGGGUUGUAAACUGCUUUUGUACGGAACGAAACGGUCUGCCCUAAUACGGCGGGCUAAUGACGGUACCGUAAGAAUAAGCACCGGCUAACUACGUGCCAGCAGCCGCGGUAAUACGUAGGGUGCGAGCGUUAAUCGGAAUUACUGGGCGUAAAGCGUGCGCAGGCGGUUAUGUAAGACAGUUGU
rnacentral:rRNA from 1 species